GGGGUUAUAGCUCAGUAGUAGAGCGCUUGCUUCACAUGCAAGGGGCCCUGGGUUUGGUCCCCAGCACCA
rnacentral:tRNA from 1 species